GAUGAACGCUGGCGGUAUGCUUAACACAUGCAAGUCGAACGGACUCUUCGGAGUUAGUGGCGGACGGGUGAGUAACGCGUGAGAAUCUGGCUUUGGGUUCGGGACAACCACUGGAAACGGUGGCUAAUACCGGAUGUGCCGAGAGGUAAAAGAGAAAUUGCCUGAAGAUGAGCUCGCGUCUGAUUAGCUAGUUGGUGAGGUAAAGGCUCACCAAGGCAGCGAUCAGUAGCUGGUCUGAGAGGAUGACCAGCCACACUGGGACUGAGACACGGCCCAGACUCCUACGGGAGGCAGCAGUGGGGAAUUUUCCGCAAUGGGCGAAAGCCUGACGGAGCAAUACCGCGUGAGGGAAGAAGGCUCUUGGGUUGUAAACCUCUUUUCUUAGGGAAGAACAAAGUGACGGUACCUAAGGAAUCAGCAUCGGCUAACUCCGUG
rnacentral:rRNA from 1 species